rnacentral:lncRNA from 1 species
GAAAAUACAAGUUGGAAAAUAGUCAAACACAAUAUAACAUCUUUUCACCCCUAUACUUCUCAGCUUAAAAAAAAAGUAUUCUAAAAAAAAGUUCAAUAACUGAGGCAGUAUUCCUGAUAGAGAUAAAUUUCAUUUUAAUCUGAUCUCUGAAUGUUACCUCUAAUCUCCAUAGCCACAAAACCAGGGCUCUGUGUAGGGAAGUCCCUCCCCUGAAAGCGAAAGGGAACCAAAGUGACUCUGAACCCUACAGCCCAAACCAACAUGGGUUAACAGAUGCAUCUCCAGGAAAACAGAGUUUCACCCAACUCAACCAGAUUUGCCCAUCCUUCCUCUGAAGUUAACAUGUGUUUUUAUUUUUUUAAAGCAGAAAUCCAACAAUUCUGCUCCAUUUCCAGUGUAUAAACCACCCACCACUCUUCCUGGGAUGGUCUCUGGACAGAAGGAGG